UGAAAUUCAAACACCCAUAUAGCUCGCAAUAGAGCCUUAUAUUCUAUUGCGAGUUAUAUGAGUGUCUGAAAUUCAGACACACUAUAUACGGGUGUCCGAAUUUCGGACACUCUUAUAUUAUAUUGCGCGCGAGUUAUAUGGGUGUCUGAAUUUCA